AUGAUUAAUUAAAUAGCCGCAAUUUGUGCUAAGGUAGCAUAAUAAUUUGUCUUUUAAAUAAAGACCAGAACAAAAGAUUUAACAUUUUAAUCUAUUUAUUUAAAAUAAAAAUUCAAAUUUUCUUAAAUGUAAAAAGACAUUUCUAUAAAAGAAAGACGACAAGACCCUAUUGAACUUAACUUUAGUUAAACUGGGGCAGUUAAUUAAAUAUUACUUUAAUUCAUCUUUUUUCAUAAUAAUCCAAAAUUAUUUGAUAAUUCAGUUACCAUAGGGAUAACAGCGCAAUUAAAUUUUAAAGCUCUUAUUUAAAAUAUAGAUUACGACCUCGAUGUUGAAUUAAUAACCUAUAUAAAGCAAAUUUCAAAAAAGGAAGUCUGUUCGACUUUUAAUUAAUUACAUGAUUUGAGUUCAGACCGGUGUAAGCCAGGUCGGUUUCAAUCUUCUAUAAACUUUUUUACAGUACGAAAGGACCUAAAAAUAUAAUUUAAUUAAUUAUUUGGCAGAUCAAUGCAUUAGAAUUAGAAUCUAAUAAAACU
rnacentral:rRNA from 1 species